rnacentral:rRNA from 1 species
UACAGAGGGUGCGAGCGUUGUUCGGAUUUAUUGGGCGUAAAGAGCGUGUAGGCGGCCUGAAAGGUCAGCUGUGAAAACUCGAGGCUCAACCUCGAGACGUCGGUUGAAACCGUACGGCUAGAGUCCGGAAGAGGAGAGUGGAAUUCCCGGUGUAGCGGUGAAAUGCGCAGAUAUCGGGAAGAACACCCGUGGCGAAGGCGGCUCUCUGGGACGGUACUGACGCUGAGACGCGAAAGCGUGGGGAGCGAACAGG